rnacentral:rRNA from 1 species
GAUGAACGCUGGCGGCGUGCCUAACACAUGCAAGUCGAACGAAGACAUACCGACGGAAUCCUUCGGGAGGAAGAUGGUAUGGACUGAGUGGCGGACGGGUGAGUAACGCGUGGGUAACCUGCCCUGUACAGGGGGACAACAGUUAGAAAUGACUGCUAAUACCGCAUAAGCGCACGGUACCGCAUGGUACAGUGCGAAAAACUCCGGUGGUACAGGAUGGGCCCGCGUCUGAUUAGUUAGUUGGCGGGGUAACGGCCCACCAAGACGACGAUCAGUAGCCGGCUUGAGAGAGUGAACGGCCACAUUGGGACUGAGACACGGCCCAAACUCCUACGGGAGGCAGCAGUGGGGAAUAUUGCACAAUGGGGGAAACCCUGAUGCAGCAACGCCGCGUGAGUGAAGAAGUAUUUCGGUAUGUAAAGCUCUAUCAGCAGGGA